rnacentral:rRNA from 1 species
UCCGCCCAUCUUAUCCCAUGAAGUUAAUGGGGAUUAUGGCGCACGUCAGGCGGAUUUCGUUAAGUCUGAUGUUCCCUUUUCCAAAAAAAAAAUUUGCGUACUGCAUCUGAUACUGGCCCUUUUUGAGUCUCCUACAGGGGGGUAGAAUUCCAGGUGUACCGGUGAAAUGCGUAGAGAUCUGGAGGAAUACCGGUGGCGAAGGUGUACCCCUGGCCGAAGACUGAUCUCAGGUGCGAUGCAUGGGAAGUAUCAGGAUUAAAUACGCUGCUAAUCCCCCCCGUAAACGAUGUCUACUUGGAGGUUGUGCCCUUGAGGCGUGGCUUCCGGAGCUAACACGUUAAUUCGACCGCCUGUGGAGUACUGACGCAAGGUUAAGAGUCAAAUGAAUUGACGGGGGCCCGCACAAUCGGUGGAGCAUGUAGUUUAAUUCGAUGUAACGCGAAUAACCUUACCUGGUCUCGACAUCCAUGGAAUUUUUCAGAGAUGAAUACGUGCCACCGGAAACCUCAAACCAGUGCUGCUUGACUGAUCACAGCUCA